AAUGUUGCCUUCAAGUUUCCGAAGCAUAGAUCGAAUUGCCAGUAUUAAACAGCACCAUGCAUACUUUUUGGUUGCACUGUGUUACCUGUCUCCUGGUACAUGU